UUGUAACAUCCUCUGUGCUUCAUAACUUCUUUGAUGUCCCCAUGAAAUUGUUCUAAGAGCAGUCUUCUCUGAUGUCACCAUGAAAUUGUUCUAACAGGAGUGGGCUGAGCAAGUCCAGCCAGUUGGACAAGCAUGUACCUGAAGAUCCCAAGAGGAAGAAAUAGAGGCAUAAGAAAGGCACUGGAGUCCCCGAGGUUUUCUUUACAUGGAGAAGUAGAGAAGAAGGGAUUUCACUAUCCUCACUGUAUUAGCAGCCAGAGUUUGAUCACAAAACACACCCUUGUCAGAUGGGACAUCUAAAUUCAGAAGCUCUACUUAUCUGAGCACAGAUUGG
rnacentral:lncRNA from 1 species